rnacentral:rRNA from 1 species
AGAGUUUGAUCCUGGCUCAGGAUGAACGUUGGCGGUGUGCCUAAUACAUGCAAGUCGAACGGUGACGAUUUUGUAGCAAUACGAAUGAAAUCAUAGUGGCGAACGGGUGAGUAACGCGUUGGUGAUCUGCCUCGAAGUGUGGAAUAACUUCCCGAAAGGGUAGCUAAUACCGCAUAGUCUCUCAAGGUUUAGAAAAUUGAGAGUAAAGGAUUUAUUCGCUUCGAGAGGAGCCUGCGUCCCAUCAGCUAGUUGGUAGGGUAAUAGCCUACCAAGGCAAUGACGGGUAGGGGACCUGAGAGGGUGGCCCCCCACAAUGGAACUGAAACACGGUCCAUACACCUACGGGUGGCAGCAGUAGGGAAUAUUAGAAAUGGGCGAAAGCCUGAUCUAGCAACACCGCGUGUGCGAUGAAGGCCUUCGGGUUGUAAAGCACUUUUUGGAGGGAAUAGGAAGGAAGGUACCUCCAGAAUAAGUCUCGGCUAACUACGUGCCAGCAGCCGCGGUAACACGUAGGAGGCAAACGUUAUCCGGAUUCACUGGGCGUAAAGCGCGUGUAGGUGGUUCUGUAAGUAGGGCGUGAAAGCUCCCGGCUCAACUGGGAGAGGCCGUACUAAACUGCAGAGCUAGAGGAUGGUAGAGGGAGGUGGAAUUCCAGGUGUAGUGGUGAAAUGCGCAGAUAUCUGGAGGAACACCAGUGGCGAAGGCGGCCUCCUGGACCAUUCCUGACACUCAGACGCGAAAGCUAGGGUAGCAAACGGAAUUAGAGACUCCGGUAGUCCUAGCCCUAAACGAUGCAGAGUAGGCGUCGGCGGUUUAAUCACCGUCGGUGUCCAAGCUAACGCGAUAAGUCUGCCGCCUGAGGACUACGGCCGCAAGGCUAAAACUCAAAGGAAUUGACGGGUCCCCGCACAAGCAGCGGAGCGUGUGGUUUAAUUUGAUGCUCCGCGAAGAACCUUACCUGGGUUUGACAUAACAGUGGUAGAGAGGUGGGGGCGGGUCGUCCCUUCGGGGGGCUGUUUCUGGUGUUGCGUGCCUGUCGUCUGCUCGUGUCGUGUGGUGUUCGGUUGUGUCCGCUCUCGGGCGCGCCCCGCGCUGUGUGUUUCUUGUGUCUCUCCGUCCCGCCGGUGUUUUGUCGGUGGGGGGUGCGGGUGGCGUCUUGUC